CCAAUUUAAUUUGCAGACUACUCCUCGCUUCUCCUCUAAAAACACCAAACUAGAAGUUAGCCAAAAUAUAAUGGUUGCUAAAAUUGUGAUUUAAUUUCUCAUCAGCUGCUAAAUUACAGCAAAAUACCACUCUGCUAUCUAGUUUACAAAACAUGUACAUAGACUGUAUACGUGGAGUAUCCCUCUUUUGUACUAUUUCUUACUUAUCCCUCAGCAAGCUAAAAUGCAGAAACAAGAUGAGCAAGACUUACACGGGGCUAGUGGUGCCAGAAAUGCGUCGAGCAUGUUGAGCAGAGAGGUGAUCACAUGGUGGAUUAUUAGAGGCAUGGUCAAGGUCAAUGAGUGCGUAGCGGACCGGGUACUGGAAGGAAUGAUGAACGGGACGAAGUCUUUCGUGCCAUACAGUUCCUUCAUAAAGAGAAACAACAGAGUCGUCGUCUGCUCCGCCGC